ACAGCUGCAGAUCUCUGUGGACAAGGGAGAGUGCUUGGAACUCUGUUGGAUGAUAGUUUUCUCAGGGGGAAAAGCAGGAUCCAUUUGACCAUUAGUGCAAUUCACUUUAGGGCUCUCUCUGGAACAGUGCAUCUAGUUUUGCAAUCGUAUUUCAGAAAAAUCACCUUUAAGCUUUGAUCAUAAUUAAUUAAUCAAUUAUGAUGAAUGUUGAUGGUGAUUUAGUAAAAGUGGAAUGAUGACUUAGGGCCCCCCCAGGGCUGAGGUUUCUAACGAACCUAGGCUCUGCCUCCACUGUCUGGCCCCUCCUUGGCUGAUCUUCCCGGGCCUCAGUUUCAUCUUAAGAAUGAGGAUAAUAUCGAGGACAUUGCUGGCUGUCAUGUGGAUUAAGUGAGAUUGAUAAAGGUAAAACGCACACACAACGCCUGGCUGGAAGGUACACAAUGAGUGUUCACUAAAUCAGAAUUGGAAACAUGCUGUCUUGUGCUCCUGAGAGAGAUACUCCUUCAUGGUCUGCAAAGCCAGACUUUGAAAUCCAGGGCAGUUGAGGCAAUGAUGCCAAAGGAAACCAGAUCACGCCACUCUUCAGCCUAAAAUCUCCUCCUCUUAGAUGGAGACGCGAUCCUGCUCCUGCCUGGCACUCCAACAUCUUUCGCUGCUGUCUUGCUUCCAUUUUUAUUAUGACAAUUUCACAUGGAAAAGUUGAAAGAAUAGUACAGUGGACACACUUAUACUCUCCACCUAGAAUCAACAGUUGCUAAUAUUUUGCCAUGUGUGCUUUAUAAGUUGCAGAAACAUUUGAGAGGUGGUUGCAGACAUGAUGACACAUUACCCCUCAGGACUUGGGCAGGCAUCUCCUAAGAAUCAGUUGUUUUCCCAGGUGACCUCCCUAUUAUUAUCACACCAAAGGAAAGGAACAGUAAUUCCGUAAUCACUCCCUUGCUCACAGAGACACAAAGGUAUCUUUCACUUUGUUCCUCAAGCCUUUUCCUGCCUCAGGGCCUUUGCACUUUCUGUGGCCUCUCCCUGGCAUCUCUCUCCCCAGAUUGUGCUCCAAAAACUCUUUCUCAUUACUUGGGUUUCAGCAUAAUGUCACCCCUUGGGAGAGUUUGUCCCUGUCUGUUUCACCUAAAAAUGCUUCCCAAUCACUCUAUCCUCCCUCCCCAUUUUAGCGUCUUCCUAUGACAUACCACUAUCUGAAAUUCUGGUUUUAUUUUCUGUCUGUGACUGCGGUCUAUGUCCCCCUCCCCACUCCCCACCCACACUACCUGCAGGAGAGCAGGGGCCGUGGCCAUUUGUUCACUGUUGUAGCUGCAGUGCCCAGAACACUGUCUUGCAUGGAGUAGACACUCGACAGAUAUUUGUUAAAUGAAGGAAUGAAUAUCCCAUAUGUGAUGUUUUCAAACAGAAGAGGUGGUAAAAUGGAGGGACUGGACCCUAGUUUUUAGAGAUAAAUCCACACAGCUUCAAUCCCAGUGCUACCACGCACCAACUGUGUGUUACUGUGGGCCUGUGUUCCUUAAACUCACCUGCCAAAUAGGGACAAUGACAAUCAUCUCUCCACCUUCUAGGACUGUUGCGAGUUAUUAAUGAGCUUAUAUACCAAGAGCGUAGAACAGAAUCUGGCAUCUAACGCCAACCUUUCAUAAGCACUUACGAUUAAUGUUGAAUAGGCUGGCCAGAGGCCCAUGAUUUUAAGCACCACUGGCUGUUCACAGGCUCACACAGAAACUGUCUCCAAGCACAAUGCCCCUGGGAGAACUUCUUGGAAGUGCUGAUGCUGCCCUGUGUGAGACCAGCUAGGUCAACAUUUGCCUGGAAAAAGCUCUGGUUGUUUACAGCAGGCAUCUGGGCUGAUGAGUCAGGGCCUGUGGUUAGACAUUUUGAUUCUCACCCCUGAGACCAGCCCUUGGAAGCUCACACAGGAGCCGAGGCAGGGAACCUGGAGAGAAGAGGACAAACAGAGACUUCCCUCUGCUAAAUGAGAGUGAAUCCGCUGGCAAAGGUCUGACUCUGCGGAUUCCCUCCCACUCCACUCUGACAUCUUGACAUCUCCACCUGGAUGUUUUGAAGGCAACUCAAGCCAGUGUGCCUGGGUCUGAACUCCUGACCUUCCUUCCCAAACCUGCUCCUCCUGCUGUGUUUGCCUUUGGAGUGACUGCCACUUCUAUCCAUUAUAAGUCAGAAAUCACCUCCUCCUCAAUCUCCUUCCCUGGCUUAAUCCAUUUCAAAUUCCUUGUGAUUGUCCUUCCUAAAUACCUGCCAAGGGCGGCCACCCCUCCAGUCACCUCUGACAACUGCAGUGGUACCCGACCCAGCUCCCUGUGCAGACCAGGGCACCGCCCACAUCCACGUUUCACGACAGGAGCCAGAGUGAGCUUUUCCAACUGCAGAUCUGAUUGAUUUCAUUCUAGUUUCACUGUCAGCAAUCAAUGCCAUAUGAAAAUAUUUCACAGAAAAAUCCAACCCCUCCCAUUAUAAAUUGCCAUGCAGGCUUCUUCUGGGUUGAUUUCUCAUCUAGUUAUAAGGGCCAAGCUGUCUUCUGGGUCUCUUUGGACUGAGUCUCUCAGGUUUGGGGUCUGACCUUGAGGGUGGGUGGGACAGAUGUCACUGAUGGUUGAUGCCUUAGUUUGGGUUGUCCCAGGUGCAGAUUCCGAGACAAGAAUUUGAGAGCAAGUAGUUUAUUUGAGAGGUGACCUCAGGAAGCUCUGGCAGGGCUUUAGGAAGCGCAACAGGAAAGGGAGGAGGCCAAUUCAGGGCGUAGUAUUCAGCCAGCUGGUGCAGAGGACAGCUGGAGUUCAGUCCCAUGGAGAAAUCACACACAAUAGAGGAAUCCCAGGAGCGAGGGACAGGCGGUAUUUAUACACCAACUCCUAUGAGUUAUUACUUGGGGGUUGUUGGAGGUGAGUGUUAAUCCCCUGGCACCUCCCACCUGCCACAGGUGUGGGUAGAGUGGACUGCUGAGGUCAUGGACAAAAGCCUGCAGGCAAAAAGAAGAAGAUAUUGGCAGUUAGAAGUGGCUCUGAGCCUGCUGGAGGGUUCCAGGGCUAUGUGGAGGGCACGAACAGCAUCUGCUCCCCUGGGGAUGAUGACAGGUGACACUGGGUGACUCAGAUCUUCUUGCCAUAACAUGGAGACACAUGGUUAGAAAGCCAGUCCAUUGUCUCAAGGAGAAGAGUCCCAGUUUGGUGCUAAUAAUCUUAACACCUUUCCAACACUGUUCAUCUCCAUCUGGAACCAAGAAAGAGCCAGCCUUGGGCCUAGUGUCUUUGGUAGGCCGUCGUAUGUACCUACCUGCAAUUGAUGAUGUUGCUUUGGUUUCUACUUAAUGUUUUCCAAUAAACUUAAGCAUAUAAAGUUUGCUGUUGAAAUAAAUUUAUAUAGUUAAAAAAUAAAUUGAUCUUUAAAGUGUUCAAUGCCAUCCCAGGCUGCCCUCCAUGAGACAGGUGGCAGGCAAUGCCUAAAUCAAGGGGACAUAGUGCACGCUCUGCCAUGGGCAUCUCAGGCCUCUGCCCUCUGGGUUCCAGCCCCUCUCUAACCUGGUUCUCACUUCUCCCUGUCCACUCUAUCCACCAAAGCCGCCUUCUCGCUCCCACUAAGUACGUUCUUGGCUCUGGCUUUGUUCCCACCCCACCCCUCUUCCCUCCUUUCUUUUCAAUGUCCUGCUCAUGCUCGGAGGCCUGACUCCAACACCACCCCCCCCACCCCACCUGAGUCCCCGACCACCCCCUGCAACACACUCCCAGUGGGAGCUGAGGGCUUCCUGCUGGGGCCACCCCCACUCCAGGAUUAUUUCAUGCUGGUGCUCUGCUAUUGACUGUUGACAGGUGGGUCCCCCACCAGCCCCGGUGCUUUGUGGGAACAGAGUCCUGGCCCUCUCUGAGCCUGGCCUGGUGCUGUCUCAGAAGAGCCCAUGGUCUGUGCUGAGCCAGUGCAAGAGCAGAGUGGACCGCAGCUUCCUCCUCCACGGCACUCCCGAAGCCCCUCGGGUGACUCCGGCCAACCAGGUGUUCCAGCAGAGAGAAGGAGGAUUAUGGGUGUGACUGUGGCCCUUGUCCUUCCACGGCUCAGGCCGCACUGUGGGAGCUGGUCGCCUUUUAGCCUUUUAGCACUGGUCCAUCCGUUUCUUUCCAUUGCCCCGUGGAGUCUGUGGCCUUUUCUCCGGGUUCUGACUGAGACCAGAGUCCAGCCUGCCUGGGGGCAGUUGUACACUGCCUUGAGUGCCUGGUGACAGGGUGACAGCACUGCCAGCGUCUCUGGGUUGGGUUUGGGGAGGCACCAGAGGCCUGAGCAGACGGCUGGGGUUGGUUAUGGCUGCUGGGAAGGGCACAAAGCCAGGAGUGGGUGGGGCAGGGAGACCAUGAGGAGCCUGUGCAGCCCGUUUUGUCUCAGCAGAGGGGCGAGUCCCAGUAGCUUCCCCGGGCCAGGGCGUCAGCUGAGUCCUGGCAGUGCAGGCAGCCCCCAAGCUGGGCAUCUGGGCAGCAGGGAGGGGGGGGAGCUUCAGGGAGGACGCGGUGGGUAGCACGUGUCUCAGGGGACACGUGUGCGUGUGAGAGGGUGACAGUGUGUGUAUAUGUGCGCCUAUGAAUGUGUAUGUGACUGUGUGCGUGAGAGUGAGGGUGUAUGUGAGUCUGUACAUGUGUGAAUGUGUGUAUGUGUGUAUGUGAGUGUAUGAGCCUGUGUGUAUGUAUGCAUGUGUGUGUGAAUGUAUGUGUGAGUGUAGGUGUGUUGGGGCCUGUGUGCGUGUAUGUGUGCGUGAAUGUGUGUAAGUGUAGGUGUAUGUGAACCUGUGUAUGUGUGUGAGCCUGUAUAUGUGAGCAUGAGCCUGUGUGUAUGUGUGUGUGUGUAUGAGUCUGUGUGUGUAUGUGUGAGACUGUAUGAGUGUGUGAGCCUGUGUGUAAGAAUGUAUGUAUGUGUGUGUGAGAGUGUGUAUGUUGGGCGUGAGAGUGUGCGCAUGUGUGGGAGACAGAGUGUCUGGAGGAGGCAGACAGUGGGAUAUGGGAGCAGAGAGAGCAAGGCGACCUCCAAGGAGAAACGGUGUCUGGGCGACCCUGAGAGCCUGAGAUGUGGCCUGGGGGUUACCAUGGACGGAAGGGAAGUAGGGGGGUCAGGACGACUCACGCUCUGGUCCUUGUCACUAAAAGUCAGAGCAGCUGAAACUCACCAAGCAUCACUCACAUCAGACACUGGUCUAAGCACCUUACAUGCAUUCUCUAUAUUUUUAUUUAACAAAUACUUACAUCGAGCUUGCCGUGUGGAGGCACUGCUCUAGUUGAUUUACAAAACGAAACAAGAAGCGUCGAAAACACAUCGAAUCAACAAAACACCAUCGUGAAUUCUCGCAACUGCCCUGUGUGGGAGGCACUGCCGCUACCUCCAUCUGCAGAGGGGUAGGGGAGCCUGGGAGCUGGUGGGCGGAGGGCCGGGUGGGGUGGAACUGGCAUCUGCCUCCAGGGCUGGGCUCCUCCCAUUGCUGAUGCCUGGGUUUCACUGUGCUCGUAAAAGCCACGGGUCAAUUAUGCUUAUUACCUGUUCUGCAGGUGAGAAAACGAGGCACACAGGGGUGAGCAAUUCGCUCAGCUUGAAAGUGGUAGAACCAGGACCCAGCCCAGGCCAUGGCUCGGGACCCACUCUGUAAUCACUCACUGGGGGCCCCGCAGUAAUGAGCUCUUUGAAGAAAGGUGAGUCACUGACCUUGGCUGUGCCUCAGUUUCUUCAUUUGCCAAGUGGGGCUCUGCUGCCCCUGCCUCUGCCCUGCUGACUUGCAAGAAGAGUGAACGAAUGGAAUUGGAUGAAGGCUUCCGGAAACUUCCAUCAGGAAAGCGCCCUGGCCUGGGAGAAAGCCGGUCCUGGCCGGCUUUGCCUGCAAUGCCCUCAGUGGCCAGUCACGUCCCCUCCUUGGCCUGCAGGUUCCUCACUGGAGCGGGGGUGGCCCGAGAUGAACCCUCAGAUGCACCAAGCCCCACACCUUGAUUGUCCAGCUCUGUCCUGAUGGACAGGGGAGCUGCCUGCGGUGACUGUCCAGGAACUGGGUGUCUGGAGACGGGCAGACCCAACCAUUUGAGGCUCGUUCUAGGAAGUGUGUUCAGUGUGGCCAAGCUUGGUGACUCUGGGGCUUCUGGAAUGGUUCCCAUGCCAGAGAAUUACAAAAAGAUCCUUUGUACUGAGAAGAGAAAGUACAACUUAUUCUCUUAGGGACACCUUCCUGGAGGGACACCAGACAAGAAGUCCAGGCCCUGGAAUCAGAUGCCCUGGGCCAGGCAGCUUCUGUCUCCCCGAGUUCUCUGCGGAGGCAGCACUCUCAGAAGAUUCCACGGUUUAAUCACACUCCAGCUCUUUUCAGAGCACCUUCUACGUGCCAGGCAUGCUCUAGGCACCAGCGAUGCAACUGUGGAUGAAAAAGACCAAGGCCCUGUUCUCGGGGAGCUGGCGGGGUGGGAGGGGCAGUGAAAAACAAGUACAGCCUGCCCCCGCAAGUACAGUCACAUAGACAUAUGUGUGUAUGUGUGCACAUAUACUUGAAAUAUCAAGUGGCUGGAGGGUUUACUUUAGACUGGGGGAUGUGGAAGUCCUCUCUGAGAUGCGCCCCCUUUGAUCAGAGGCCUGAAGGAAUUAAAUGAGUCUUCCAUGUGCACAUCCAGGGGAGGAAGUUUCCAGGCAGAUGGACCCGCAUGUGCAAAGGCCCUGUGGUGGAGUGUGCUGGGGGUGUUCUAGGAGGGUCAGCAUGGAGGGAACAAGGAGAAGAGCUCGAGCUGAGGUUAUGGAGGGCCUCAUGGGUCAUGGCAAAGACAUCUGGGUCAUAUUCUGAGAUAGAUGGGGUGGGGUUUGGCACAGAGGACUUUAUGUAUUUUGCCUUAAUAUUUUAAAAGGAUCCCUCUGGCUGCCUGUGAGCAUGGAUUGUGCAGGAUCAAUGCAGGGAGUCGAUGUAGGGAGACCAGCAAGGAGGUGAUUGCCACAGUCAAGAAGGGAUGAUGGACGCCCAGGCCUCCGUAUUCGGAGCGGUGUGGCCAGGCGAUAGCAUGGUAGCCAUCAUCACAAGCUAAAGCCAGCAGGUUUGGUAGAUGGUUGGGAUAUGGAGGAAUAAGAGAAAGAGAAGGGUUAUGCUGACUCUAAGAUUUGGCCUAAUCGCCAGAAGGUUGUAGGUGCCUUUUUUUUUUUUUUUUUAAAUGGGAGUGACCGGCUUGGAGGGAAGAUAAGGGGCAUCAGAAACCUGCACAAACCUGCAGGAGUGUGCACUGUGUGACCCUGAUGCCCAAAGGUGACCCUGGGGCCAAGCAGUGUCUCCACCCUUAGUCUCUGGGGCCCCUGCCCACCUGCAGAAGGGACCCUAAACACUAACCUUUGAUUUAAAUCCAAAACAUUCUUCCCUAACGUAAAGUUGCCCAGGGCAGUAUUGGUUUCUCUUUUAAAGACGCCACCUGGAUUCUAUUCUAAUGGUGGGGGUGCAUAUCUAGAAAGGAUGGGCAGCCCCUGCGGGGAAAGAAUGAAUGGGGCCAGGUGCAGUGGCUCACACCUGUAAUCCCAGCACUUUGGGAGGCCGAGGUGGGUGGAUCACUUGAGGUCAAGAGUUCGAGACCAGCCUGGCCAACAUGGUGAAACCCUGUCUCUACUAAAAAAAUACAAAAAUUAGCUGGGUGUGGUGGCACGCGCCCAUAGUCCCAGAUACUUGGGAGGCUGAGGCAUGAGAUUUGCUUGAACCUGGGAGUCAGAGGUUGCCGUUGUGGUAGGAGUUAUUAAGAAAUUAUUUUAGGCAGAUAGAAAGGAAAAGGGGUCCUUGGGAAGUUUUCGUUUGUUAAAGCAUCUCCGGAAGUUUCUGUAAAGCCCGGGCUCUUAGAGCCAGGCGGGCAACCUUUGAUAUGCAAAUGCCAGCCAUUAGAAACUGGGUCGCGAGCCUUCUUGCCCUUUCCCGACCUGUUCCUGGCAACAUGGCCGCCCCCACAUAUCCCCACGUGUGUAGAACAUUGUGGCGCCCUGUAUUUGCAUAUUAAAAGACUAGGGUGGGAGGGCCAGCUUUUUCAUGGGCUACCAUGAAUGACAUGCCUGGUCAAACCAAUCCCCUGAGCCCUAUGCAAAUCAGACACCGCCCCCUCCAGCCUCUGUAUAUAUACCUGGCUGGUAUCCAUGGCAGGUGGGGACCUCCUCUUUCGGCUUUGGAGCCCCCAUUCCUCUGCCUCUGUACAAGGGAGCUUCUUCCUUCUCCCUUCCUUCUUGCCUAUUAAACACUCCGCUCCUUAAAACCGCUCCAUGUGUGUCCGUGUCAUCUUACCUAAUUUGACAUGAGACAAGAACCCUCCUCCCCUCAUCAGAACUGUAUCACAGUGAGCCAAGAGGGAGCCACUGCACUCCAGUCUGGGUGACAGAGUGAACGUUCAUCUCAAAAAAAAAAAAAAAAAAAAGAAUUAAUGGAAGAAGCCCGGCCUGGUGGCUCACACCUGUAAUCCCAGCACUUUGGGAGGCUGAGGUGGUGGAUCACUUGAGGUAAGGAGUUCAAGACAAGGCUGGCCAACAUAGUGAAACUCUGUCUUUACUAAAAAUACAAAAAUUAGCCGGGCUACUCGGGAGGAAGGCUGAGGGAGGAGAAUGGCUUGAACCAGGGAGGCAGAGGUUGCAGUGAGCCGAGAUCGCACCACUGCACUCCAUCCUGGGUGACAUAGUGAGACUCUGUCUCAACAACAACAACAACAACAACAACAACAACAACAACAACAACAAGAAUGAAUGGAAGAAGAUUCCAUGAGUACCCAGAGUGCUGCAGUCCCAUGCACGAGAUUUAACGUGGCUGCCACCUGUCCAGAUGGGUUUGUGGGAAAGCACUACAUCUGUUUAAGGGAGUUUGAAUGUUAAAGAGGGAUGUUCAUCGCAGAAAGGAAAUUACUGAGUCUGCAAAUAUCAUCAAGUGGGAGAAAGACGGAUGGGACAUUUAUGGACAUGUAGUUUGUCCCAGUGAAAUAAAGCAUCUUCAAACCUGUCUUUACUGGCAUAGAAGUACUGCAGUGUCACCUAACAGAGCAGUUUACAUCACAGUGGUGAGUUUCUGAAAAACAAAAAACAAAAGAGUGCUUUCCACCCAUCUAUCCAGCUUUCUAAAGCAACCGCAAUAAAAUAUGUUUUUGUGCGAUGGAAUUUACAAAGCACCUACUAAUCGCAGAACCCUGGGCUAAGGAGAAGAGUGAAGAAACAGAGCUCAUCCUCAGUGGGCCCAUGGCUGGUGGGAGAAACACACGGACAUAAAUGGCACGCAGGAUGCAGUGGGUUGGUGCGGUGAGAAAGGUCGCAGGGUCCAGAGAACGGAGAGGGUCAGAGAAGUCUUUUUAGGAGGGAUUGUAUGUGAGUCAGCUUGCUAUUGGCUGCAAGUGACUGAAACCCCUAAUGAAUCUGGCUUACGCAGUGAGGGAGUAUGUUAUCUCCCAUAACAGAGGUGGACUUCAGGGUGGGUUGAUUCAGUGGCUCUGCAACACCACCAGUCUCCCUCGCCUGUUGUGGGAUGUCACAAUGUGGCUGCCACCAGCAACUGGCACAUGUCUUCUUGUCCAGGUGAAGCAGGAAAUUUUACCCGACCCCUUCACAGGUGGGACCUGGAGUAUCGGAAGCUGGAGCUACCCGGCCACUUCGGUGCCAGCAGGGCAAACUCCACUCACUGUUGUGCUCAACCCCUUGUGGGAGGGAGCAUGUAGAUGAGCGGGUUCAGGAGCUGCGGCGAGUGCCUUUGGGCGCUGGCAGGAGCAAACUCUGUGCUGGCCCCACAGCAGCGUCUAAGGGAGGGGGG
rnacentral:lncRNA from 1 species